UAUAUAGAGAAUACAUAGGAUUAAGAGAGUUUAUUUGUCCUUCUCAGGAAGAAUGAGUCACUAGUCUCUACAGCAUUCUUCUGGAUCAUAAAAGUACCAUAUAACUGUAACAGGACACCUAGUUGUGCCUGUGUGCUAGCUACACUUGGGAUGCUGGUUGCAGUUUUAGGGGGAUGAGUUCAGAGAACUUUGAUAGUGAGAGUGAGUUUAUGGGUAAUUCAUUAAAUACAAUGAAUAAUUGUGUGGCUGAUUGGUCCAGAUGCUACAACACUCACUGUCCACUUUAAUAGGAACUCCUGUACACCAUGUCCUUCAUAGAGUCAUACAGUCAGCCAAUCAUAUGGCAACUGCACCCUGCAUAAAAUCAUACAGAUACAGGUCAAAAGCACAUCAAUCAUCAGAAUGGGAAAAAUGUGAUCUGUGAUUUUAACUGUGACAUGGUUUUUGGUUCCAGAUGGGCUGAUUUGAAUUUCAGUAUUUCAGAAACUGGGUCUCCUGAGAAUUUCUCAAACAACACAGAAUAGUUGGGUGGGGUUUGGGGGUAGCAACUCAUGAUCACUCUUUAUGACUGUGGUGAGAAGAAAAUCAUCUUAGCACGUAUAAGACAUUGAACCUUAAAGUGGAUGGGCUCUAACAGCAGCCAUGAAUAAGAAUCUGCAGAUUUCAUGGGCACACUCACUGGACAAUUGAAGACUGAAAAAGGUGAUUUUUUUUUUGUUCAACUGUACAGUUUCUGUGCCUCAGAUUAGGCAUUUGCACCCCCAUAAUUAUUGCUUAUUUAAUAUUUUUUGUACCAUUCUGUGCAAACUCAGAGACUUUUGUGUGAGAAACAUCCCAGUAUAUCAGCAGGAUCUGAAAUAUGGCACCAACAACCAUGCCACGGUUAUUGUGUUGUUGAUUCUGAUAGUUGAUGUGAACAUCAUUAACCGAAGCUCUUGAAAUGUAUCUGCAUGUUGUUGUUAUGUUUACAUUAUGCUGCUGCCAUAUGACAGGUGGUCUUAAUAAGGUGGAUGGUGAGUGUAUCCACAUACUUCAUCUUUUGUUAUUUUGUUGUACUGCUUCUAAGUUGGACAUUAUUACAAAUAAUUUUGCUGUUGUAUUUAUUUGUAUUUUAGAUGAAUGCAAGGAUCUGGCUGGGGACGUAAUGUUUCUUGCCACAAAAUUCAUCCCCCAGAAAAGGGUGGGUGAAGCCUUACUAGAAGAGGGGAAUGUCCAUGCUGCCAUCGUCAAAACCGAAGACUGCAGGAAGACAUUGAAAGAAGUAAAGGCUGCUCUAGAGAAAAAUUGGGACACAUUUGACCUGGCAACACAUGGUCUUGGUCCUGCCGUAAUAAAUGGCACUUUUUCGUUGAUAGAUGCGUGUCUUAAGGAAAAGAUGAGAGCACUGAAAAAAAAAGACUCCACAGAUGAGUAAGGUUCCCCCACUUUAUUUUGUUUACUUGUAUUGUUUCAAACUCUUGUUUCUUGAUGUUCAGCUGUACAAAAAAAAAUUAAUAAAACAUUACAAAGAA